GUGCCUCGGGCGGCGG
rnacentral:rRNA from 1 species